rnacentral:lncRNA from 1 species
AAACCCUAACCAAUACCAAGAAUUCCUAUUGAAAAGUAGUUUUAAGUUCCAACACUAGAAAUUUCUCAAUAUCCUUAAAACAUUUGCAUUUGGUAAUUGAAAUAAAAUACUCACAUUUUGUUGACAAUCCUAUGGCGUGAAUUAGGCGAAAGAUGAGGCUUCCAAUCAUCUCCAUCCAUGGCAGUUCAGCCUGAGCAGGUAGAGCUCUGAUUAAAAAAAAAAAAGGAAGAAGAAAAACUUAUCAGUUUCCUGUACUUCUUACUAAAAAAAGAACCUGAGAAAGAAAAUCAAAUAAUCACAUCAUGGUAUUUAAAAGAAGCAAACUAUCCAUUUCCUCCAAUCAAUAAAAAAUUCAAAAUAAAAAGCAAGAAAGAAAAUCAUGCCAUGAUAAUAAAAUGAAAUGAGUAAUCAGUUUUCAUAUUUCCCGCAGAAUCAAAAAUUGGAAGUGAAACCCAAGAAUUUGGAUAUGAUAUUCAAAUGAACAGAAUAAUAAUAAAAAAUUGAAAAUAAAACCAAAGAAACGAAAACCGCGCCAUGAUAUGAAAAUGAAUUGAAUAAUCGGUUUUUUAUCACGAUCUUUCAAUGAAUCGAAUAAUUGAUUUUCUUUGUUGAAUUAAAAAUAAAAAACUGAGGAUAAACCCAAGAAGGUAAUCAUGCCAUGAUGUUAAAAAAAGUUGAAUUACCAGUUUUUUAGAUUGAAUCGGAAAUUGAAAAAGAAGCCCAAGAAAGAAAAUCACGCCAUGAUAUUGAAAUCAAGUGAAUUAUUACUUUUCUCUUCUUUAUCAAAAAUGCCAAACGAAACCCUAGAAAGAAUGCUACGCUCUGAUAUUAAAACGGAUAGAAACAGUCAGUUAUCCCUAGCAAAUCAAAAAUGGAAAAUGAAAUCCAAAAAAGAAAAUCACGCCCUGAAUCAAAAUGAAUCAAAUUAUCUGUCAUCUCUACUAAAUCAAAAAUUGAAAAUGAAACCAAAAAGGAAAAUGACGCCAUGGUAUUCAUGCGAAUUGAAUAAUUAGUUCUUUAUGGAGUCAUUAAAAUAAAUAAAUUAUCGAAGAAAAAAACCGAAUGAAAUAAUUAGUUUUUUCCAUUGAAUCAAAAUAGAGAGAGAAAAUCAGUGCAUGGUAUUGAAUGAAGUGAAAUGGAAAAAAUAAUAAUAAUAAGAAGGAACCUGGGACUGGGAGUAAGUGGGAUGAGAGGGCAGUUUUAGAGAAACCCUAGCCCUUCUGAUUCGGAAUGUCAUGGCUUUGAUGCUCUAAGAUAAAAGUUUCUGCUUAUGAGAGA